UAACUUUAAAUCAGCAGAUGACUGCUGACCGAGUUCAGAUGAUGAUGCGAAACAGAGGGAGAUACACCUGCUUCUCCACCAAAAUACAAAAAUCAUUUAUUAUUUUAACUCCUGCCUCAAACAGCACACACACACACAAUUAAUUACAUAUGAAAACUAGGCUGGACAACACACACAGACGGUGUGUUUAUGAUAUGUUGGUGUGUGUGUGUGUGGUGGCAGAGGGAGUCGAUUACAGAGGCGGAGGAGGCAGAGAGGGGCCCACUUCAGCAAUGUGGUUAUCGGAGAAACUGAAAAGCAAGGCCAGAAUGGGAGCAGAUGCGAUCUUACCCCGCUGAGGCCCAGGUCAUCCAGCAGCUGUCGGUCCCUCUCAUCUUCCCCUCCAGAGUGGACGAACAGCCGGUCUAAAGGAACUGCCGCCAGCAGCACCACUCUCACCUGGGACACAGGCACAAAAUGUCCAGUUUGUUUAUGGAGGGGGUCUGUUGGAGGUGGCCACCACCACCACUCCGGUCUUGAACAGUGUCUCAAACAGCUGCUUCAGGAUCAUGGCAUCAGCAAUGUCAGUCACCUGACAGAAG